AUUGAACGCUGGCGGCAGGCCUAACACAUGCAAGUCGAGCGGAUGAAGGGAGCUUGCUCCUGGAUUCAGCGGCGGACGGGUGAGUAAUGCCUAGGAAUCUGCCUGGUAGUGGGGGAUAACGUCCGGAAACGGGCGCUAAUACCGCAUACGUCCUGAGGGAGAAAGUGGGGGAUCUUCGGACCUCACGCUAUCAGAUGAGCCUAGGUCGGAUUAGCUAGUUGGUGGGGUAAAGGCCUACCAAGGCGACGAUCCGUAACUGGUCUGAGAGGAUGAUCAGUCAAACUGGAACUGAGACAAGGUCCAGACUCCUACGGGAGGGAGGAGUGGGGAAUAUUGGACAAAGGGCGAAAGCCUGAUCCAGCCAUGCCGCGUGUGUGAAGAAGGUCUUCGGAUUGUAAAGCACUUUAAGUUGGGAGGAAGGGCAGUAAGUUAAUACCUUGCUGUUUUGACGUUACCAACAGAAUAAGCACCGGCUAACUUCGUG
rnacentral:rRNA from 1 species